rnacentral:rRNA from 1 species
UACAGAGAGUGCGAGCGUUAAUCGGAAUUACUGGGCGUAAAGCGCGCGUAGGCGGCUUUGCAAGUCGGGUGUGAAAUCCCCAGGCUUAACCUGGGAACUGCAUUCGAGACUGCAUUGCUAGAGUAUGGGAGAGGGAAGUGGAAUUUCCGGUGUAGCGGUGAAAUGCGUAGAUAUCGGAAGGAACAUCAGUGGCGAAAGCGACUUCCUGGACCAAUACUGACGCUCAUGUGCGAAAGCGUGGGGAGCAAACAGG